rnacentral:rRNA from 1 species
CGGCGGACGGGUGAGUAACACGUGGAUAACCUACCUAUAAGACUGGGAUAACUUCGGGAAACCGGAGCUAAUACCGGAUAACAUUUGGAACCGCAUGGUUCUAAAGUGAAAGAUGGUUUUGCUAUCACUUAUAGAUGGACCCGCGCCGUAUUAGCUAGUUGGUAAGGUAACGGCUUACCAAGGCAACGAUGCAUAGCCGACCUGAGAGGGUGAUCGGCCACACUGGAACUGAGACACGGUCCAG